GAUGAACGCUGGCGGCGUGCCUAAUACAUGCAAGUCGAGCGAACAGACGAGGAGCUUGCUCCUCUGACGUUAGCGGCGGACGGGAGAGUCACACGUGGAUAACCUACCUAUAAGACUGGGAUAACUUCGGGAAACCGGAGCUAAUACCGGAUAAUAUAUUGAACCGCAUUGUUCAAUAGUGAAAGACGGUUUUGCUGUCAAUUCUAGAUGGAUCCGCGCCGCAUUAGCUAGUUGGUAAGGUAACUGCUUACCCAGGCAAGGAUGGUUAUCCGACCUGAAAGGGUGGUCGCCCAGACUGGAACUGAGAAAGGGUCCAGACACCUACGGUAGGCAGCAGUAGGGAAUCUUCCGCGAUGGACGAAAGCUUGACGGAGCAACGCGGCGUGAGUGAUGAAGGUCUUCGGAUCGUAAAACUCUGUUAUUAGGGAAGAACAAAUGUGUAAGUAACUAUGCACGUCUUGACGGUACCUAAUCAGAAAGCCACGGCUAACUACGUG
rnacentral:rRNA from 1 species